AAAAAACCUUGCAAACAAAACUUAAGGAAAUUGAGGAACAACUACCCAAGCCAGAGGUGCUUAAGAGAAAAAGUAAACCUUCUAUGAAACUCCUUGAGGCCACAGAGGUAGACGAACCAGCAGCUAAGAAAAAGGCAUACCCAACAGACCAACAAAACGAUCUAAGGUUAUGGAAUGAAAAGAAAAUUGAACAUCUACAGCGUGUCAUUAAUCAGUUGAGAGAAGAGAACUCGAAUCUAAAAAGAGAGAACGAGAGGCUGAAAAAUGAAAUACUUGAAAAAAUCCCACCUCUCCUUCAGGCUACAGAACAUUUAC
ensembl:lncRNA